UCCUUAUUUUGCAAGCGUUGUCCGGAAUUAUUGGGCGUAAAGAGCUCGUAGGCGGUCUGUUGCGUCGGCUGUGAAAACCCGGGGCUCAACUCCGGGCCUGCAGCCGAUACGGGCAGACUAGAGUUCGGCAGGGGAGACUGGAAUUCCUGGUGUAGCGGUGAAAUGCGCAGAUAUCAGGAGGAACACCGGUGGCGAAGGCGGGUCUCUGGGCCGAUACUGACGCUGAGGAGCGAAAGCGUGGGGAGCGAACAGG
rnacentral:rRNA from 1 species